UCCGGUUUGUCACCGGCAGUCUCCUUAGAGUGCCCACCCGAACCGCUGGCAACAUAGGACAAGGGUUGCGCUCGUUGCGGGACUUAACCCAACAUCUCACGACACGAGCUGACGACAGCCAUGCAGCACCUGUGCACGAGCUCCGAAGAGGGGUCACUGUUUCCAGCAACUUUCCCGUGCAUGUCAAGCCUAGGUAAGGUUCUGCGCGUUGCGUCGAAUUAAACCACAUGCUCCACCGCUUGUGCGGGCCCCCGUCAAUUCCUUUGAGUUUCAGCCUUGCGGCCGUACUCCCCAGGCGGGGCGCUUAAUGCGUUAGCUGCGGCACGGAAGGAGUCGAUGACCUCCCACACCUAGCGCCCAUCGUUUACGGCGUGGACUAC
rnacentral:misc_RNA from 1 species